UUCACUGAGGGAUUCCCAGAUAACGACUGCAAUCCUGUCUCCUCCAAAGGCUUAGAUUAUCAUAAACAUUUCCUUUGUUUGAAAGAACGCCUAUUCUUACUGGGUGACAAAUCCCAAAUUUCCACAGGAGUCAGGAAGUCUACACCUUCAGGGUUGCAAGGUCAUGUGACCUGGGAACCCAGCAGAAGCUAUACCCAGAAAAAAGGAUGAUGAGGCCAAUUACUGCAUGUCCCUUCUUCCCAGGAGCCACUGGGGCAGCUGGAAACUUGCACAGCACCUGCAAGACUCUCAUCUCUCAUUUUCCAUCUUGAGACUGUAACCAGAUGCAAACUCAGAUGCCUUCAUGGUCAACUCUAUGGUCCAAUGAAAAGGUUCAGUUGAAAAUUCUGCUGAUUUAUUAUUGUUGUUGAUAGAGAUGAUGGCUCACUUUGCAGUUGGAGAUGGAAUUCAUCCAUGACCUUGCAGAAGACUGACCUGGUAAUGUGAAUCGGCAUAUGGCGCACUUUGCAAAGGUGAUUUCCAACAGCUUUCAAAUGUAAUUGAUGUAAGAAAACUUCAUCGACGGGAUCAUACCCAGGUGACAGGCAGUGAUAGCGGCCAUGCAAGUGCUGUCUCAGAUUGAAAUGCUAAAUAUUAUGCAACAUCUUGCAGUGAAGAAUUUUACAUCCUACAAGAGACUCAAGCACAAUUGUAAGAUCCCUGCAAGGAAUAAAAUGCUUUCAAAGACGCGAUAGAGAAACCUGGUGCAAAGACUGAAGAGACAACCUCAGACUUAACACAGCAUAUUUUAAUUUUGUUGUUGUCUUAACUGAAGAUUGGGGCUCAGCCUCUAAAUCAGCUGCAAAAUUACUGGGAAAUGUUGGUACUGUAGCAUCUACUGGUUGAACAAAAUGUAACAUCUGAAUUCUUUGAAUGGGCACCAAAUUUCAAUUAAAAACU